rnacentral:rRNA from 1 species
UACACCUGUUCCCAUUCCGAACACAGUAGUUAAGCUCGUUUACGGUGACAAUACUUGGCUGGCGACGGCCCGGGAAGAUAACUCAACGCCUAC